rnacentral:rRNA from 1 species
ACUUAAUAUUUAAGCUUUUACACCUAAAAUUAAUUUUAAUCCAACAUCGAGGUCGCAAUCUUUUUUAUAAAUAUGAACUUAAAAAAAAAAUAACGCUGUUAUCCCUAAAGUAAUUUAAAUUUUUAACCAAUAAUACAAGAUCAUAAAAAUCAUAAAUCAAUGAAAUAAAAUUAUAAAAGUUUAACAAAUUUUAUUAUCUCCCCAACAAAAUAAUAUAUAUAUAAAAAAAUUAAAAAUAUAUUAAAAAAAUAAUUUUAUAUAAAUUAUAAAACUUUAUAGGGUCUUCUCGUCCUAUAUAAAWAUUUUAGCUUUUUUACUAAAAAAUAAAAUUUUAAUUUUUUUAUUGAAACAGUUUAUAUCUCAUUCAACCAUUCAUACAAGUUUUCAAUUAAAAAACUAAUGAU